rnacentral:rRNA from 1 species
AUUGAACGCUGGCGGCAGGCCUAACACAUGCAAGUCGAGCGGAUGAAGGGAGCUUGCUCCUGGAUUCAGCGGCGGACGGGUGAGUAAUGCCUAGGAAUCUGCCUGGUAGUGGGGGAUAACGUCCGGAAACGGGCGCUAAUACCGCAUACGUCCUGAGGGAGAAAGUGGGGGAUCUUCGGACCUCACGCUAUCAGAUGAGCCUAGGUCGGAUUAGCUAGUUGGUGGGGUAAAGGCCUACCAAGGCGACGAUCCGUAACUGGUCUGAGAGGAUGAUCAGUCACACUGGAAGUGAGACACGGUCCCGACUCCUACGGGAGGCCGCAGUGGGGAAUAUUGGACGAUGGGCGAAAGCCUGAUCCAGCCAUGCCGCGUGUGUGAAGAAGGUCUUCGGAUUGUAAAGCACUUUAAGUUGGGAGGAAGGGCAGUAAGUUAAUACCUUGCUGUUUUGACGUUACCAACAGAAUAAGCACCGGCUAACUUCGUG